UCUCGUGAUUCUAGCGAAGUGGACACACCUGUUCCCAUACCGAACACAGUAGUUAAGCAUUUCAGCGCCGAUGGUACCCUCCGGGGGAGAGUAGGUCAUUGCGGGGA
rnacentral:rRNA from 1 species